UAUAGUCUAUUUUUAUACUCAAUUUUAAUCUCAACCGUACAUUACAUUUUUGAUCCAUGGCCAUAAUUAAUUCUAUCAUUUUUUAUUAUUAUUACCCAAAUCCUAAACCUAAACUAAUUUUUCCUUUUCAUUUUAGAUUUUUGGGUCAUCUUCUCCAAAGGAGAAGAAAAAGAACCGCCGCCUCUUCUACUCUCUCCCUCCGCCACUCUCUUCUUCUCUCCCUCACGUCGCCACCGCCGCACCUCCUCCAUCCCCAGCGAGCUGCUGUCCAGCAGCACGCUGCAACCAUAAUGGACAGCUGCAACAACCAACAACGACCAGCGAUCUCCACCGGAAAAGACCACCAGAUCCAGCAGCUCCUCAACAUCGCCCUUCUCUUCUCCGACGAGCCUGACGGGCAGCAGCUCCAGCAGCCCCCUCACGCUGCUUUUCCUUCGAACAGCAGCUACGAUGAGCUGCUGUCCAGCAGUACGCUCAAUCAACAACAACACAAGCAGCAGCAGCCAUGAUAUGCAGCGACAGCAACAUCAACGGUUGCUUCGAUGCUCCAAUCAGCUGACCGAAAACUCCGGCCAGUAACGCCACCAUGGUUCAAGUCCAAAUCGAUCGGAGACUAUUUGUCAAAGACGGAUCUUAAGAUUCGUCCGGGGCUUGAACUUCAAAGUUCAAGACACGAGGAGUGCGAAAGUUUAAAAUGUCAUUAUUUCGUUUACAUUUUUUGUAUUAUUUAUCCACUUACCUUUUAUUUUAGUUUGUAAUAAUCUUGUAAAUUCUACACUGUAUAAUAAUAUACAUUUUGGGGACUGUCUAAAGGGGGAGGGGAAAUCUACGUGAUGCAUGUUAAUUAAAUCAUAUGUCACGGUUUAAGCUUAAUAUUUUCAGCAUAUUAAUUGAAACUAUACUUACAUGA